CGACCGGCGCACGGGUGAGUAACACGUAUCCAACCUGCCGCUUACUCGGGGAUAGCCUUUCGAAAGAAAGAUUAAUACCCGAUGGUAUAAAGAGUUCGCAUGUUCUCUUUAGUAAAGAAUUUCGGUAAGCGAUGGGGAUGCGUUCCAUUAGAUAGUUGGCGGGGUAACGGCCCACCAAGUCUACGAUGGAUAGGGGGUUCUGAGACGGAAGGUCCCCCACAUUGGAACUGAGACACGGUCCAAACUCCUACGGGAGGCAGCAGUGAGGAAUAUUGGUCAAUGGACGAGAGUCUGAACCAGCCAAGUAAGCGUGAAGGAUGACUGCCCUAUGGGUUGUAAACUUCUUUUAUAAGGGAAUAAAGUGAGGGACGUGUCCCUUUUUGUAUGUACCUUAUGAAUAAGGAUCGGCUAACUCCGUGCCAGCCGCUGC
rnacentral:rRNA from 1 species